CGAACCGACUAAUGUUGAAAAAUUAGCGGAUGACCUGUGGCUGGGGGUGAAAGGCCAAUCAAACCGGGAGAUAGCUGGUUCUCCCCGAAAGCUAUUUAGGUAGCGCCUCGUGAAUUCAUCUCCGGGGGUAGAGCACUGUUUCGGCUAGGGGGCCAUCCCGGCUUACCAACCCGAUGCAAACUGCGAAUACCGGAGAAUGUUAUCACGGGAGACACACGGCGGGUGCUAACGUCCGUCGUGAAGAGGGAAACAACCCAGACCGCCAGCUAAGGUCCCAAAGUCAUGGUUAAGUGGGAAACGAUGUGGGAAGGCCCAGACAGCCAGGAUGUUGGCUUAGAAGCAGCCAUCAUUUAAAGAAAGCGUAAUAGCUCACUGGUCGAGUCGGCCUGCGCGGAAGAUGUAACGGGGCUAAACCAUGCACCGAAGCUGCGGCAGCGAACGUAUCACCCAAGACAACUUUACGGAGUUGACGAUUGACGGAGCGAAGCGACGUCAAAGCGUUCAUUAAAGUCGAGUUGGCUUAGGGAUACGUUCGUUGGGUAGGGGAGCGUUCUGUAAGCCUGUGAAGGUGUGUCGUGAGGCAUGCUGGAGGUAUCAGAAGUGCGAAUGCUGACAUAAGUAACGAUAAAGCGGGUGAAAAGCCCGCUCGCCGGAAGACCAAGGGUUCCUGUCCAACGUUAAUCGGGGCAGGGUGAGUCGACCCCUAAGGCGAGGCCGAAAGGCGUAGUCGAUGGGAAACGGGUUAAUAUUCCCGUACUUGGUGUUACUGCGAAGGGGGGACGGAGAAGGCUAUGUUGGCCGGGCGACGGUUGUCCCGGUUUAAGCGUGUAGGUGUGUGUUCCAGGUAAAUCCGGUUCACUUUAACACUGAGGCGUGACGACGAGGCACUACGGUGCUGAAGCAACAAAUGCCCUGCUUCCAGGAAAA
rnacentral:rRNA from 1 species